rnacentral:rRNA from 1 species
CGCUGGCGGCGUGCUUAAACACAUGCAAGUCGAACGGUAAGGCCCUUCGGGGGUACACGAGUGGCGAACGGGUGAGUAACACGUGGGUGAUCUGCCCUGCACUUCGGGAUAAGCCUGGGAAACUGGGUCUAAUACCGGAUAGGACCAUGGACUUCACGGUUUGUGGUGGAAAGCUUUUGCGGUGUGGAAUGGGCCCGCGGCCUAUCAGCUUGUUGGUGGGGUAAUGGCCUACCAAGGCGACGACGGGUAGCCGGCCUGAGAGGGUGUCCGGCCACACUGGGACUGAGAUACGGCCCAGACUCCUACGGGAGGCAGCAGUGGGGAAUAUUGCACAAUGGGCGCAAGCCUGAUGCAGCGACGCCGCGUGAGGGAUGACGGCCUUCGGGUUGUAAACCUCUUUCAAUAGGGACGAAGCGCAAGUGACGGUACCUAUAGAAGAAGCACCGGCCAACUACGUG